AUUGAACGCUGGCGGCAGGCCUAACACAUGCAAGUCGAACGAGUGGCGGACGGGUGAGUAAUGUCUGGGAAACUGCCCGAUGGAGGGGGCUAACUACUGGAAACGGUAGCUAAUAACGCAUACCAUCGGAUGUGCCCAGAUGGGAUUAGAUAGUAGGUGGGGUAACGGCUCACCUAGGCGACGCUCCCUAGCUGGGCUGAGAGGGUGACCAGCCACACUGGAACUGAGACACGGCCCAGACUCCUACGGGAGGCAGCAGUGGGGAAUAUUGCACAAUGGGCGAAAGCCUGAUGCAGCCAUGCCGCGUGUAUGAAGAAGGCCUUCGGGUUGUAAAGUACUUUCAGCGAGGAGGCGUUACUAGCAGAAGAAGCACCGGCUAACUCCGUGCCAGCAGCCGCGGUAAUAC
rnacentral:rRNA from 1 species